rnacentral:rRNA from 1 species
UACAGAGGUCCCAAGCGUUGUUCGGAUUCACUGGGCGUAAAGGGUGCGUAGGCGGCGCGGUAAGUCGGGUGUGAAAUCUCGGAGCUUAACUCCGAAACUGCAUUCGAUACUGCCGUGCUUGAGGACUGGAGAGGAGACUGGAAUUUACGGUGUAGCAGUGAAAUGCGUAGAGAUCGUAAGGAAGACCAGUGGCGAAGGCGAGUCUCUGGACAGUUACUGACGCUGAGGCACGAAGGCCAGGGGAGCAAACGGG